UUUAAAAAUAAAAGCUGUAAAAGAAACAAGCAUUCUCCUACAUCUUGGACUUGGGUCCAAAUAAAACAACAGCAUACAUCAGGCAAUAAACGAAAAUGGCCCAUAAAUAAAUAAAGAAAUAAAACUGAUAAAAACCUGCUCCUACUAAUGCCAGUCGACAACAACAGUUGUCCUCUUAAAGUCACGUCUUGUCAUCUGAACCGCCACAGCCGUUGGAAAUAGCAGAAUUGCUCAAAUCUCAUCAAAUCUUUAAUCUUCUGCUACAAGUUUUCAAAAAGAGCCGUUUCUUAUUCUUUAACCUGGUUCUCUCAACCUUAUCCUCUCCACCGCUCUUCGAACACAGUCUGGGAUGCUGCCUUCCAGAUAAUGACUUUCGUUUUUUUUCAAAGCUUCUCUAGUAGUAAUAUGAGCAAAGAAAUUUUCUGAUUUUGGGAUGAAAUGAAACCCCAAUUCUUGAAAAUGUAUUUAUAAGUUUUGGAUAUCUCUAAUGAGUGCUCCGAUGAUUGAUCUAUCAUAUUUUGUACUCUGGCAUUUCUUGAUAACUGUUCUAGAAUCACCCAAAAUAUUGCAUGCAUUAGAACCCAUGGAAAUACCUAACCUUAUUGCAUCUAAUCCUGCAAGAGCCUCUUCCGCGAACGGUUAUGCUACAUCAACAUGGAGUACCGAUUUGGACGCCAAGAUUUCCCCAUCCACCUCUCGGACUAUCAACCCCGAGGCUGAUCUGAAAUACUGUUGGUCGAAAGCCGCAUCAAAGUUGGAUGUGUUCUUUGUUAAACCUGUUUGAGAACUCUGUCAGAGUCUAAGCUAAGUAUUUUCUCCUCUACUUCUUGCAACUCUGAAACAUAACUUAUUAUUUGAUUGGAAAUAUCAGUGCUGGUACUAUUUCUAUUUUCAUAAAGGAGCUUAUUUUUACUUGUCCAGAUAAGCCAGAGCCCACAGCAGAAGAGACGACACUGUUCGCUUGUCCCCUGAUUGAAAACCCAGGACACUGUCGAAAAAUGUGGAUAGUCUUCUCUUCAUUAAGACGACACCUAGGACAUCGAGUUUCAACAACUACUCAUUUAGACUUAAGAAUAGCAAAAGUAGGGAUGUAGUUCCAGGAAAUUUUCCAGACUGUAAUUUUGAUUUUUGAAGGGAUGUGUAGAUUCCACAGUUUCCUGUAAAAAGUUUUAUUCUCGACCUGUAAAUUAUUAUUACUAAGAACUAGUGUAGUCCUUUGUAAUAGUUUAUAAGCACUUCUAACCGAGAAACUUUCAUAUGGUUCCCCUCCCCAUA